rnacentral:rRNA from 1 species
AUUGAACGCUGGCGGCAUGCCUUACACAUGCAAGUCGAACGGCAGCGGACCUUCGGGUGCCGGCGAGUGGCGAACGGGUGAGUAAUAUAUCGGAACGUACCUUUCAGUGGGGGAUAACGUAGCGAAAGUUACGCUAAUACCGCAUAUUCUGUGAGCAGGAAAGCAGGGGAUCGCAAGACCUUGCGCUGAUUGAGCGGCCGAUAUCAGAUUAGCUAGUUGGUGAGGUAAAGGCUCACCAAGGCGACGAUCUGUAGCGGGUCUGAGAGGAUGAUCCGCCACACUGGAACUGAGACACGGUCCAGACUCCUACGGGAGGCAGCAGUGGGGAAUUUUGGACAAUGGGCGCAAGCCUGAUCCAGCCAUGCCGCGUGAGUGAAGAAGGCCUCGGUUGUAAGACGUCUUUCUAGCAGGAAGAAA